CAGCAGCCGCGGGAAUACGAAGGGGGCUAGCGUUGUUCGGAAUUACUGGGCGUAAAGCGCACGUAGGCGGACUUUUAAGUCAGGGGUGAAAUCCCGGGGCUCAACCUCGGAACUGCCUUUGAUACUGGAAGUCUUGAGUGUGGAAGAGGUAAGUGGAAUUGCGAGUGUAGAGGUGAAAUUCGUAGAUAUUCGCAGGAACACCAGUGGCGAAGGCGGCUUACUGGUCCACAACUGACGCUGAGGUGCGAAAGCGUGGGGAGCAAAUGGGAUUAGAUACCCGUGUAGUCCCUGUCUCUUAUAC
rnacentral:rRNA from 1 species